rnacentral:miRNA from 1 species
AAUUUACACAAGGCAUGACUGUUACAUAAUGAAUAUGAUUUUUCUGUGUGAUUUGUGAAAUCAGUUUCAUUCCUUUAUAAUCACAUGAUGCAUAUUA